AGUGGGAUAGCUGGGUCAAAUGGUGGUUUACAUUCCAAGUUUUCUAAGGAACCUCCAUAGCACUUUACAGAGUGGUUGCACUAAUUUGCAGUCCCACUAGCAAU
rnacentral:pre_miRNA from 1 species